UAAAACUUAUUGCCAUAGCCGCUUUGCCACGAUAUCAACGACAAAAAUGAUUGGUAGCUCUGUAAGGCCCCCGCUUUGUAUUCGUAUGGAGAUCACAUGGUCAUAACAUGAAAAAAGCUUCACUUUAUGGAUGGCACAAUUUCCGACCAUGCUUUCGACAGAGGAAUCUUUGCGCAGAUGCAGUCAUGCCAGUUCGCUGGUGUGGGAAGUUUGAAGACACGCAGGAAAAAGUUUCAAAGAAGUAAAUUUUACCUCAUUCAGUGGUUAAGAGGCCAAGAGCAACCCAACUCUGCAGAUUUGUUUGAACAACCGGAAACAUCAGUAGAUCUUUCAAAAUCAUGGCAGCCUUCACCCGACAGUUCAUUGACUCAGAUAUCCUGCAAUUCACCAUCCAGUCCAAAAACAAUUUUCACCCCCUCUUCAUUCCUCUACACCGGAGCUCCUAACACCCCAGUAGUAUCCUGGAGGGCCUGUGAUAGACGGCGCAGUCCUGUGAUGACCCGUGCCCGGACCCCACAGGACUCCUAGACCUCAGACUGGAUCCCCUGCCUGUGCUUCCCAAGCUCAUUCCUCUGUAGGUCAGCGGCCCAAAACUCCAAGGAUUAAAGAGAGUGUUUGCAGUCGGUGUGCAAAUACCACAGAAGAACAAGUUGGAGCAGCUCUCGGUGAUCACCUAAAACAGACGCCAGCUCGAUGUGGUGGGGGGCUACAGGAAACACAGAACUUCGCCCUUCUGAAUUUUUUUCUAAAAUCCCCACAAAGUUCUUUAAAAACAAGUGUUUUUUUAAAAAACAAACGUUUUAAAUCUAUUUUUUUAUUUUCCUUUUCGCAUUGCGAGGCAAAUUUCAUAAAACCAGUUAAAAGGUUGUUAAAAGUAUUUAUAUUUAUAGUUUUUUUUAAACAUUUUUUCCACUGUUAUAAUGUGUAAUAUUUUGUUCAGUUUAUUUUGAAUUGUUUUAAUUUUUCCAAGUUCAAGGUUUAAAUUUAUGUUCUAUUUGUGUAACAUUAAAGAAAAAUUAUGCCAAGUCCAUGAUUGUAAUG